UUAAUUAUAAAUGCCCAACUGCCCAACAAUAGCAUAUUUCAAUAAAAUGGCUAAGAAAAUGCAAAAUAAAAAAUUGUAUGUUCCAAAGAACUUUUUUUAUGAAAAUCAAGGCACUUGCAGUUUUGUACUUAAGUUCUUUAAUAAUUUUAAUUUUAAUAUGCAAAAUGUGAUGCAACCAAAAAGAAGCUUAUUAGUUAAAAUGUAAAAAAAAAGAAAUGUUUUUAGGUUUAAACUUGAGGCGGAUUUGUCUUGAGCAAAAUCUUUAUGUAUAAAUUCUACACUAUUUUUAGCCGUGUUCAGAAAUUCAUUUGAAAAGUACGAUUUGCGAAAUUGUUUCCAAGUUUUUUUUUUAUUAAAAGUUUCAAAAUCGUAUUUGACUACGAUUUACACUGGCGUUCAAAACAAAUGCAAUUACAUUUCACGACUUUUUCGGAACUACCUCAAUACUAUUUUGGGACUCUAUUCAUAUAUCAUUUCGGAGUACUUCGGAACUAGUUACGCAAUGAUGACUUUUUGACAAUUUAAUGACCUAAAUGUUUCACCAAUACGAAGCUGUCGUUUGACAGUUGUAGUUUGUAGUUUUGACCAUUUAUUUUUUUUUUAAAUUUUUUACAAAAAUAUAAUUUGUAUCAGAACGAAAGGUUUUAAACUUUGAGUUAUGUAGUUUUUGCUGUGGUAUAACCUAUGUAUAUUUUUGUAAAAAAAAAUGUAUUAAAAAGAAAUGGUCGAAACUUCUAAAGAUGUGGUGUCCUCUAUUAUGUGGCCGCCACGGUGUAUAGGAGUACAUAUGUACAUAUGUAUGUAACAUGAUAAGUAUUUCUUUAAAAGGUUUCAAAUUAAGUCUCUGACUUGAAGUCGCAUAAUCCUUCGUUCAACUCUAUUUGAUACUUCUUACGAGUAUUACUUAAAAAAAUGCAUUUUACAAAACUACUGCUCAAAAAUAUAUUCAAACUUUUUUGUUUUAACUUCUCUGCAUUCAGUUUAAAUAAUUUAUUCUAGCUUUUAGUUCAACUUUCCGUAUUACAAAAAUGUUUCAAUAUCUUGAAACAUAAUAAUAAAUAAUAGCCUUUGGCAAAAGCUU